AAUAAACGGUCUUCCUUCCCGGACCUAUUCCGUAGGAAAGGCGCUACAGCGCCCCAGAACUUAGUUAUGCGACGGUUGGAUGCCUUUGUGGUCUUCGG
ensembl:misc_RNA